rnacentral:rRNA from 1 species
AUGAGAGAAGCUGCCCUUGAGCGAUCAGCCAGUCUAAAGUCUGAUUGUUUCACCAUCCGGUGUGAUAUUGUGGUGUGCAAGGACAACACGCCAGAUGCCAUUGGCUCCGGCACCGGUACCGAGGUUCUCCUGCCUGACAUGCACCAACAUUUUAGCGAUCUCCUUCGGAAUAAGGUGGGUGCUGAUGUGACAUUCGAGGUCGGCGGCAAGACGUUCGCUGCACACCGGUGUGUGCUCGCUGCCAGGUCUGAAGUGUUCAUGGCGCACCUCUUUGGCACCGCUACGUCCAAUGUCAUACACAUCACAAAUAUGGAAACUAAAGUGUUUAGGGCUUUGCUUUGCUUCAUCUACACAGACUCUUCUCCUGAGAUGGAGGACAUCAUGGAGGAGGAUGAAAUGCCACGAGUUGUGGAACAAGGACAAGUAGAGAAAGUUGUGGACAAGAAAAUGUCAGAAGUUGCGGAGCCAACACAAGAAGAGGCGGUAGAGGAUGAAAUGCUUCUGCAAUGGCUGCAAGACUUGUUUGUGGCGGCAGACAGAUACAAUCUCCAGCGGCUCAAGUUCAUAUGUGAAAAGCAGUUGUGUGAGCAUGUAGGUGUGAGCUCGGUGGUGUCCACUCUUGCUCUAGCCGAGCAGCACCACCGCCAUGGAUUGAAGGAGGCAUGCUUGAAGUUUAUCCAAGUCCUAUCUCCCUCGUGUUUGCAGACACUAAUGGCUACUGAUGGCCGGGGCAUAUAG